rnacentral:rRNA from 1 species
CCUACGGGUGGCAGCAGUGGGGAAUAUUGGACAAUGGGCGAAAGCCUGAUCCAGCCAUGCCGCGUGUGUGAAGAAGGCCUUCGGGUUGUAAAGCACUUUCAGUGGGGAAGAAAGCCUUGGGGCUAAUACCCUCGAGGAAGGACAUCACCCACAGAAGAAGCACCGGCUAACUCCGUGCCAGCAGCCGCGGUAAUACGGAGGGUGCGAGCGUUAAUCGGAAUUACUGGGCGUAAAGCGCGCGUAGGCGGUCUGAUAAGCCGGUUGUGAAAGCCCCGGGCUCAACCUGGGAACGGCAUCCGGAACUGUCAGGGUAGAGUGCAGGAGAGGAAGGUAGAAUUCCCGGUGUAGCGGUGAAAUGCGUAGAGAUCGGGAGGAAUACCAGUGGCGAAGGCGGCCUUCUGGACUGACACUGACGCUGAGGUGCGAAAGCGUGGGUAGCAAACAGGAUUAGAUACCCCAGUAGC